rnacentral:rRNA from 1 species
AGGUUACUGCUAUCGGUGUUCGCCUAAGCCAUGCGAGUCAUAUGUUCUUCGUGAACAUGGCGUACUGCUCAGUAACACGUGGAUAACCUGCCC